CAAAACCCGAAAAAAAACCUAAGACACAGGAAGAGAAAAACCUGAAGAUAGUAGCCAUCAACCUUUCACGAUAACAAUGGGACAAGACCAAAAACCUAGCGGAAAAAAUCCACCUCCUUAACGCCAUUUCCCCGCAAAAAGCCAGUCGACGCCGCUAUCAUCUCCGCCUGACCUCCUCAUCUAUAAAGAGAUGCUCACCCUUCCACGUCGUCUUCUUCUUCACACAAUCAAACCAACAGCCACAUGAUCUCUUCAAAAUGGCUAGCUCCCUCACUCUAUGCAUUCUCUCCGCCGGAGUUAACCACCGGCGACGGCUACUAUUAUCGUUGCAAUGGGAUGUGAACGGAAAAUCCCUAGCCUUGGACUGCAAAUUCGAAAUAAAAAAACAAAAACAAAAAAAAUUAUUUUCAAUUUUGCUGCGACUUUCCGGCAUGGAAUCUGAUUGAAGCACCGUGGAGAUUCUGAUGAUUAGUUUGUUGUUCGAGGUUCGUGGCCUGUUGCUCCCGUCUAGGUUUGAGUCGAUGAGGUGCUAUUUGAGAUCUCUAAGUUUCUAUGCUCUGUUCGACUAUUAAUUUUGGAAUUUAAAAUUUUCAUUCUACAGAUUAAGGUCCAUUCCUAUCCCACACUACUUUCUACUAAGUUUUGUUUGAAUGAGUGCAUAUUUACUCUUAAUUAUUUGUUUGAUUGGAAUGAGUUGGUUUCUUGAAUUCAAUUCCAUGAUAUUUACUGAGAUCUUACCCACGUAAGUUUAACAUAGAUAAUAUUAUUGUAAUUAUAUGUGUCUUAGUGUGUUGAAGUUGAAUUUGCUUGGAAAUUUCCGUGGGGAAGAUAUAUAUUUUAAUUUUAUGAAUUCGGGAUAAAUGUGUAUUGAUAUUGUCUCAUUUAGUCCUUUUAGAAAAACUCAAUUAAAAUGUGUUAAGAAGAAAAUGAAGCACGUUUUAUUAACAGAGGUAGAAAAGUAAGGUUCGGAUUUAAGAAAAGAACGUGGGCAGUUGGGAUUAUUACUUUGAAUUAAGAGGGAUUAUUGCAAGAAAGAUAACCUGUGAAACGAAUUGAUCCCUUAAGAUGUCGGUUUUAAAUUAAUGAUGUUGGACUUCAGAAAUGAAUGUUUUGUUUGGUUUUAUUUUAUCGUGUUUAACCGCUAGCAGUAUAUUUUUGGCCGUCAUUACUUGAGUAGGAAAGCUGCAGGAUUUUUGUUAGUUUAGUGGUGAAAGGUCGUUCCUUUAGUUAUAUUUAUCCGGGAUAUGCCCUGAGGGGUUUGUAUAUAUUUUAUCCGGGGUAUGACCCGAAGUAUUUGUACUUGAAGGCCGAAGACGGAACAGUUCGAGGAAGCAUAGAAUAUUAUUUUAUUUUUGUUUUAUUAGGUGGAGACGACCUCGAGCCUCUUUUGACUGUUUAUUUUCUUUUUGGUGUUUUUUACCUCAAUUUGAAUAUCUUAAAAACCAACUUGAUCGAGUACGCAACCGUGAUUUUCACGGGACUUGGGGAGUUCCUAACACCUUCUCCCCGAAUCAAAUGAACCCCCUCACCCGAAUCUCUGCUGCGGACUAAGUAUUGAGUCCAAGUGUUUUAAAAGGAAAAUAUUUUCUAAAACUGGUGACCUAACACACCAAAAUCAAAUGUCAGGUGGCGACUCUGAGUUAAUCCUUUUAAACACAUCUUUUGUCACUUUCAAAAUUGAAAAACCCUUUUCAAGCUCUUUAAAUCUUUUAUUAAUUGAAGAUGAUUAAGUGAGAUUUGUUUUAAAAAAAAAAAAGGGUGUGACACACAGUAUCUCAUGGUUUAUGGUAUCCUCAAUCUAAUUCCUUUAAGUUAGAAGGUUUCUUAGAUGUAGAUUUAGCAGGUGAUAAAGAAGACAGGAAAAGCACAAUUGGCACAUGACAACUACUAGGAAAAGCUUUAAUAUCCUGGAAUAGUAAAAAAAACAAGCAUCAGUUGCUUUAUCGACUACUAAAGCUGAGUAUAUUGCUGCUGGACAACGUUGUGCACAAUUGCUAUGGAUGUCCCAUCAACUGGGCGACUAUGAUCUCUCUUUCAAACCUAUACAAAUUUUCUGUGAUAAUUCUAAUGCUAUUUGUCUUUUGAAAAAUCAUGUGCAUCACUCUAGAGCUAAGCAAACAGAUAUUAAACAUCAUUUCAUUAGAGAUCAUGUUCCCAAAAGUGAUAUAGAAUUAGCAUUUGUUGGUACUUCUGCUCAAUUAGCCGAUAUUUUUAUUAAACCUUUGUUGGAAUAAAGAUUUUGUACUCUAAAAGAACUUCUUGGAAUUAUUUGCUUUACUAAAAACCCUUAGGUUCAAAGUAAUGUUUUUCAAAAACUUAUCAUAAUUGUUUUUUGUGUAGUUCAUUAAUUACGUCGUCAUCCUUUCCCUCCCUUUCCUGUCUAAUUUCCCAUCAGUUGCAGUCACAGAAGGAAAGCCAAUCGAUGCGUCGGUCUAACUGACAACUUUUCCUUUUCUACUAAACCGUAAAAUCCCACCUCUUUAGAUAGUCCUUUUCAUCUCCCUUCUUCUUCAUCCUCUCUACCAAACUUUUACACUCCCAGUUCAAAACCUUCCUCUCCGCCAUGGCCAAGACCUGCAAAAAUCCCUCCGCCUCCACAAGAAAAAGCACUCAUUCCAAAGCAAAACCUUCUUCCGCUAUGCCUGAGAAAGUCGACCUAGGGUUUGACCCGUUCGAGGAGUGUGCCUCUUCUGCCUCCUCUCCGCCAUGGCCAAGACCUCUAAAAAUCCCUCUACCUCUACAAGAAAAAGCACUUGUUCCUAAGAAAAACCUUCUUUCGCUCCGCCUGAGCAAGUCGACCUAGGGUCUGACCGGUCUGAGGAGUGUUCCUCCUCUCAAGGUGCACAUUCUGAGCACUCCCUACUUCUUGGUGACAAAUCUGCUGGCAAACGACCCACGGAUGAACCCCUUGUCUCCACCUCCAAGAAAGCCAAGUUUGAUUACUCUACCUCUCUUGAAUCUGACCUCAAUUUUUGGGAUUCCCCAAAUAGGGACUUCUUUAUUUCGCUCAAAGACAAGCCCAUAGCCCAUGGCCAUUUGGUAGAUAUCGAUAGUAUGGAAUCCCUCAACUGUAAGGUAAAAGAGCCUUUUGUUUAUCAAUGGUGGGACAAAUUUCUAUCUAUUUCUCCACCUAAAGUAUAUGAACCUCUGGUCCGUAUGUUCUAUGCCAAUAUUCGUUCUAGAAAAUUUGAUAGGCUUUAAAUCCUUGUUCUUGGCAAACGCAUUGUUCUUGACUGUAGCCUGUUUGAUUCCCUUUUUCUCUGUCGUUGUUCUGGCUUCCCUACUAUGUUUAAAAAUGUAUGGCCUGAUGUUUUUGAAAUAUCCUUUGAUCAUGCAAAAUAGAUCAUUGCAUAAAACCCUUCUGCCUGUCUUCCAAAUCAAUUAGGCCCAGUGAUAUUAGAUUUUAAACUAGGGUUCUAGCUCACAUUGUUGCAACCACUCUCCUUCCCAGAACUGGUUCCUUCUCCACUCUCUCUACCAAAGGGACACCUUCUUCGUCUAUUGUCUCAUCUCUAAACUCAAAAUCAAGUUGUCCUCUUGGGUUAUCAACUUCAUGAUUGAAAGUGCUGAAGACCCCACCAGCCUUCUGUAUGGUAUGGCCAUUACUCACAUUCUGGAAACCCAUCAAAUCUCACAUUCAGACUACCCUUUUGUUUCUGUGACCAAAUGCUACAACUCUAGAGCCUUCUCUAGCAUGGGGUAUGUGAUUAGCAAAGGGGUCUGGGUCAAAAAGGGAGAAAGUGAUGCCAAGCCUGUUCCUGAGGAAAUCAAGUCGUCCUCUGUCCUUCCAUUCUCUCAUAUUCCCAUAGACCUUAGUGGAAAACUAUGCUCCCUUGAAUCUCAACUUUCCGAUAUCAAGUUGACUGUGGACGCCAUUCACGCCAUUUCCAAGGAAACAGCGUCUAAUGUCUAAUUUCAUGGUGGUUUUGCAAAACAUACGAGAGAAUGCAGUCAAAGCGUUCAGGAAGGUGCAUGACAGGUUGAUGGAUUGGGCAUUGCUGCCAACACCAGCUUUGACCAAAUGAAUGAGGAUAUCUGCAACACCCUUACCUAUUUCCUGCGCUGUUGAUGGUUGUGAUUUACAGACAAUACUUUGGUUGUUGGGUUGUUCCCGUGGAUGUUUUUUUAUUUUGUUUUUUUAUAUAUUUUGUCUGUGGAAAUUAUUUUUUACUAUAGCUCCCUCUUUGCUGAUGUCAAAAAGGGGGAGAAAUAUAUGCCAUCUUUUCUCAUGUGCAGGAUAUAUUUAUUAAAUUGACUAUGCAAUGGCAUAGUUUUUAUACAGGACAAGUCGACUAUAUAUGGUAUAUAUGUUUAAGCUGACUAUGUUGCGGCAUAGCUAUUAUCUCAUCUGCACAGGACAAGUCAACUAUGCUGGACAAAUAUGUUUUAAUUGACUUCGUAGUCAAUACCUCAUGCUCUUUGGGUCUGUUAGUUAAUACUUGACAGGUAUCUAUCAAACUGUACAUAAUGAGGGGGAGCAAUUCGAUUGCACAUAGUCCAGUUGACCAUACAUUGAGGGGGGGAAAUUCGACUGUACAUAAACAGGGAAGUAAACUGUUGUUUACUCUCUUAUAUAUUAAUUUUGCCAUCAUCAAAAAGGGAAAUUGUUAGAUCAGAUUUUAAUAAUGCAAUUAAUAUACAUGUGCAGGUAUUCAAAAAAAGGGAAGCGGAAUUAUUGGAACUGAUAUAGCAAACAAGGAAAGGGCUAAAAGAGAGGCUGUAAUUGUGUUCAAAUAAGGAAGCAAACUUGUUGUAGCAAAAAGGAAGGAAAUAUUCAUUAAAGGUAGAUGUCGAUGCUCAAGGAAAAGAUCAGGAUCUCAUCAUCAAAUCAGGAAGUCUUCCAUAAUUAUGGGUAAAUCAUAUCUACCCAGAUACAAUAAAAGAUUCAAUGCAAAUCUCUGAUGAUUAAUAAUAAUGGGAAGAUAUGGACGGAAAUCAAGAUUGGAGGAUCCACAAUCAAAGGCAAUCUGUGUUGAAUCAUAUCUCUAGCUAAAUUUAGAAAAUCUGGUAUGCGACCAAGUUUGGAAACAUCAACAAUCAAGGAGCAAUCAAGAAAAGCAAUGUCUCAAUCCUUAUUCUUGGAAAUAAUCAUUCUUUCCAAGGAUAAAAUAUCUUUGGUUGUCAAGCCCCCAACAUCCAUCAAAGUAUUUAUACAUCCUUGUAAAACCUAUCUUAGAUAUACUUUGAUCAAACCAAAUAGAUCUCUUCAAUUUACUGCAAACAAGCAUAGUAGUCUAGAAAGAUUAACUGUGUAACAAGCCAGAGAUAGAAAGAGUAUUCUCAAUUGGUGAGGCACUGUAUCAAAUGAGUGAAAGAAGACUGUGCGACAAGUAUCAUAUCUGUACUCAAAAAAAUCAUUGAUCUAAAGAGAAAUCCCUUGCAGCCCAAGGGGACUGGAUUAGGAUUCACAUUGAAUCUGAACCAGUAUAAAAAUUCUGGGUGUAUUUAUAUAUCUACAUUUACUUUUAGCAUACUUAUAUUUAAAUAUUCUCGUCUGGUGCACUACCACAUGAAGUCAACUAAUAAAGUUUUAAGUUGACUUAUUUGCGAUUAAGUUUAAAUUCGUCACAAUUCACCCCCCUGUUUUACUUUCACGGAGGAGAAGGUAGGGUGGCCUGGGAGUUAUUAAUCUUAGCUUUAUAGGAGAGUUUUUGGGAGGAGAGAUACUUACCUGAGCUUUCUGCAUAAUUAUAUUAGAAUAUCUUCACCUGCAGUAUCGUCACAUUCAGUCGACUUAAAGUUUAAAGUCAACUUAUUUAUGAUUAAGUUUAAAUUAUUCACAAUUCACCACACCCCCCCUGUACUUUCACUUCUCCAGUCUAUCAUAUACAACCCUUAAGAAUACUUUAUUAAUGAAAUUACUUAGACUAAUAGGUCUAAUAUCAGAGAAUAUUUGUACUCUUGGAUUUUUAGGCAACAAAACAAGGUUAGUAUGAGUUAUCGAUUUAGGCAAGGGAGCACCAUCAAAGAACACAAUCAGCAGCUCAUAUAUAUCAUCCCCUACAAUGUCCUAACAUGUCUGAAAGAAUAGGUCUGAGAAGCUAUCUGGUCCCCUUGCACUUUCACUACUCAAAGCAAAAACUCCUACUUUCACCUCCUCCAUUGCUGGCAAUCUACACAAUUCUAUAUUUUGCUCCCUUGAAAUCAUUUUUGGCACAUUGUUCAACAGCGCAAAGGUUGAAGGAUCAUCCUCCUUUGUGAACUGCUUCUAAAUGAAUUCAACUACUGCAUUGGACAUUAAUUCCUGAGAUUCUAUCCAGUCUCUAUCAUAGUUCUGAAUCCUUUUCAAUUGCAAUUUCUGUCUUUUUCCAUUAACAUGAUUGUGGAAAAAACUUUUAUUCAUGUCACCUUCUUCAAACUAAGUCAUCUCUACCUUUUGUUUUCAAUAUUACUCUUCUAUGCUCAAAUAUUUCUUCAACUCUGCCUGGGCCUGUCGCAGUACAAUUCUGUUCUCAAUAGAUGGAUUUUCCUCAAACAAAAUCUCUUUAAUUCUCACCACAUCUUCUAUGUUAGACAACUACUUAAAUAUAUCCCCAUAGGUUAAUUUUCUCCAUCUGGAUAAAGCAAUAUUAACCCUCUUUAAUUUCUUCUUAAACAUCAAAAAUGGAUCACCCAUAAAGUAUGCAAUCCAGUUUUGUUGCACCACCUCCAAGAAUGUUUCAUGUUUUGUCCAGAAGUUCAAAAACUUGAAUGGCUUCACAAAUUUCAGUUCUUCUUCUCCAUAGCUCAUCAAUAAUGGGGCAUGAUCUAAUCCAGUCCUAAUCAAAUGCUCCACCUCAAUAUCAGGAAAUUUAUUUUGAAAAGGCAUGUUCACCAGAAUCCUAUCAAGCCUUUUAAGUAUACACUCUUCAUUUGGCCUCCCAUUCCACCAUGUAAAUGGACUUCCUUUGUAACCAAGAUCAAACAUUCCACAGGAAUUCACACUGAAGGAAAAAAUCUUCAUGUUUAGGAGGAUAAACUGGAACGCCACCAAUGUUUUCUUCCUCUCCCAACACUACAGUAAAAUCACCCCCACUAACCAAGGCAAUUUCAUGUUACUAGCUAAAUGAUACAAAGUAUCACAUAACUCCAAUCUCUCCAAAGCACAACAUUUAGCAUAAACAAAUGUCAUCAUAUUGUGCUUAUCAAGAUAUGAUAUACUCUGAUUGUUAUUUGUUGAUUUGUGUCUAUCACUAUAUCCCAUUCUACCACAUCAUCAAAGAACAACCAAAUCUUGCCAUUCACAUUUGAAAUUGCAGCUUCCAUACCUAGACUUCUCUAUAUCUUUGAAGAAACUUCUGUUUUUGCUUUGGUUACAUAAGUGAAACUAUAAAGAAACCAUGAUCCCUUUGCAUAUUAAUAACCCUUUGAAAGGCCUGUUGUGUCUUUACAGACCUUAUAUUCCAUACGAGAGUCUUGAUCAUCUUGGUACAUUAGUGGCUGCCCUCCUAGGCAAAUUCUAGUAGGUGCUUGUAGUUCUUUAGGUUGUGUCUUCUUCGCUUUCUUCUCACUUUUGAUAGCUGUUCUAUGAGAUAAUUCCCCUUCCCUUGCUAUAGCUUUGAAAUUUUCCUCUAUAGAUUCCUCAUCUUCUUCCCCUUCUCUCUGUACCUACUGAUUUAUAAAAGUCUGCUGAAUAUCCAUGGGUACCUCUUUAUGAGUGAUUAUAUCAUGAGCACCUGAGUUGGAGUCCUUUGUGGCAUAGUAACUUGGAUGUGCAAUGGGGAUCCUGUACCUGAUGCACGUGCCAUAGGUAAUGCAUCAAAUUCUCCUUGAUUCCUUGACACAAUUGACUGCUUAUCUGCUUCCAAAGGUAUCAAUGCUACCUGUUGUUCUUUUCCAUAUUCCUUAAGUUCUCCUUCAUCAUCUUGAAUUGAAGCUCAUACACUGAUCCUAGAUUAGGAUCUACUGUUGCCAAUGUAUCCUUUAUGACCUCAUUAGCAGGAACUCCUUCAACAACAGCCACAAUCUCCCCUGUUUUGCAAGCGUUUACUGUUCCAUUGGAUUUCUCUUCAUUCACCACUUUUUGAGAUGAAACUUGCACAAGUACCACACCAAGACAAAGCUCAGUCAAACAGGGCCAAUGCGGCUGCACACCAUUCUUUGUGGUUCGCACAAGUGAAGUUUAGAGAGGUUGUUGUUCAGGCCAACAGGAAAUGCGGACCCAAGGGGUUUUGUGCAGUCUACAUUGGGUUCAUUGCGGCCAAACUCAAUUUUGUGCAGUCCCCAAAGCCAUGGUUCAAAGAGAUGAUAUUUUGGAGUUUGAAGCUCAAUGUGGUCCACUGUCCUUUUUGUGCAGACCGCAAUGGAAGCCACCGCGGCCGCACUCGAUUUCGUGCAGCCCGCAUUGCCCAAGUUCAAAGAGCUAAUUAUUCAAGUUCAGAGCCUUAGUGCGGCCGUACUCAUUUUUGUGUCAGUCCGUACUAGCCCCUCAGGGGUAUUUCUAUCCAAGAUUUUCAGCCUAGUAUAAAUAGAUUCUUUUUUCGUUUUUAGGACAUCAGAUAGUUUUGUACUGAGAGCUUCGCUCGCGACUUCAUCCCUUUUGCUUAUUUUGAGUAAUUGGAGCUUAAUUUCAACAUUGAAUCUUUAAGUUUAAUUUAGCAAUUAAUUAUUAUGAGUUUUUCUUCAUCUAUAGCUUUGUUUUCUUCUCUAUUAUGAGUAGCUAGACCCAUCAGCUAGGGUUGUGGCUCAAGCCUAGUGUGGGUAAUUGAUGGAUCUUGUGUUUUGAUGUUUGAUUGUCUAUGGGUGUUUGAUAUUUAGGCUAAUUUAGGGCUUUAAUUUUGAAUUAGUAGUUGUAAUACUAGUUUGUGCCUAGUAGACUUUGGCUCUUCUUGAGAAAGAGACCCUAAGUCCAUGAAAUUAGUCCAACAAGGAAUUGGGGCCUACUCAAGAGAUUGAUAGUCCCAAUUAAAAGGUUAAACCUAGAGAUAGUAAUACCCGACUUGAAACUUGAUUGCUUGCACAAAUUUGCAUACCCAAUUGGUCUUGAGAAAGUCAAUUCGGGAAAAAUCACUCGAACUACCGAGAGGAAAAAGAUGAGUAGAAUCGUGCAAUGGUUAUAUCAUACUCCCCAAAUGUGACAAUCUAGCUUUAGACUCAAGAAUCCGUCAAUUGACCACCUAGGAGAAAGCCGCUACCCUAGUGCCUUUUAAUCAUUUGAAUAACUUGCAAUAGAUUAACCUUAACUUUAUUUAGUUUAAUUGAGCAUUGUAGUUUUAUAAAAUUAGAAUUAUAAAUAACACCAAAAAUGUGUAGAACUGCAAUUAAGUGCAUCCACUUUAGAUAGACACUCGACUCCAAUAUCUAGCUCCCUAUGAAAAUCGAUCCCGACCUUAAUCGGGUAAUUGCUUUGACCUCUCUCACAACUCAAUAGUAGUUCAGGGUUGGACUCGAUCACUUUUUGGCACUGUUUCCAGGGAGCUAACGAAUUUGGCUAUCUAUCUAAAUAGUUUUGUGUAUCGUUCUUCUUUCCUUCUAUGUUACUAAUUUGUUUGUGUCACAACUUCAGGUACAAGAUGGCUGCAAAGGUUGAUGACCCUCUUGGAAAUGUGAUUGCGGGGGAGGAGGUAGAUGAUGUUGGAGAUGAUGAGGUGCCUCUUGUACCUCAAGGACAAUGUAGAGGCCGUCAGGCCAAUGCUAAUACCAAUGAAAUCAUUCCACACCCUCCUCCUCCACCUCCAAGAGUUGCUCUAAGAGUGCUUCCGAACCAAGGCUAUGCAAGUGCAAUUGUCCCACCGCAGAUCCUGGCGGGCAAUUAUCAAAUAAUCAAUAUGAUGCUAACCUUUUUGGAGCAGUGUAGGUAUUUCAUGGGCACUGCCAAUCAAAAUACUUACAAACAUCUUAAGGGGUUCGUGGAUACCUGUUGAGUGAGCAAGCAAUCAAAUGUGUCUGUGGAUGCUCUUAGGUUGAGACUCUUUCCAUUUUCAUUUAGAGGGAAGGCAUUGGACUAGCUUGAGCAACUUCCCAACCAUUCCAUCACUACUUGGGAUGAGUUGGCGGACAAGUUCAUUGUAAAAAUUUUCUCACUGGGGCAUAUGGCUGCAUUGAGAGAUAAGAUCUUGAAUUUCAAGCAAGAGCCCAUGGAACCUUUGCAUGAGAUUUGGGAGCGUUAUAGAACAAUGGUGAAGGAAUUCCCCGACAAUGAUAUGACCAAGGCGGUGAUCCAACUGACUUUCUACCAGGGCAUUAAUACAACAAACAAUGCAUAGUGAACCAACUUGCUGGGGGAAAAAUUAUGAAGCUAUCUUAUGGUUAGGCUUGUGAGAUUCUUCACGAGAUGGAUGACACUUCUUUGGCUAGAAAAAGUAAAACCGGUGUGCCCCGGGGUGACCCUACGGUUACUCAUUUGCACAAAGAGUUACAUGAUCAUUAUCAGGCUAUAGUUGAGUUGACAAAUACUAUGAACCAACUAGCAUAGGCACAACUACAACAAGUUCAAAAUCGUUGCCAAGUGAAUGCCAUGGAGUAUGUCAACAUGAUUGUCAAUAAAGAAGACAAAAGGGUCAACAAAAUCAAGGAAAUUUGGAGCAAUUUGACAAUAAUUGUGGUGGAUUUCUAGAUGAUAGUUAUGAUAGGCAUGAUGAGGAGGUGCAGUACGUGAGAAAGGCCAAAGGGAAAAUUCUUCCAACCAACAACAAUGGAGACCCCAAGUCAAUUGGGGAAAUCAACAACAACAAGGCAAUGGUAAUUGGGGGAACAAAAAUCAAAACAGCAACUGAGGUAAUCAGAAUAAUCAAGGAAAUUGGAAUGGUAACAACAAUCAAGGCGGAUGGAACAAUGGAAACCAAGGAAACCGGGGAAAAGGCUUUCAAAGGCCCUCAAUGUACCAAAAACUAAACAAUCCACCCCCAUUUCUAUCUCAAGGUCCUAGUUCUUCUAACAGUGAUGUGGGGAGAAUUGAAAUGAUGUUCGAACAAAUGAUAAAAAAGAGUGCGGAUUUCGAUGCUCAGUUGUCUUCCCACAAUACAUCAAUUUAGAAUUUAGAGGUUCUGUUGGGCCAAAUCUCAAAAUACUUCAAUACUCGCCCUAAGGGUGCUUUACCAAGUGAUACGGUAGUGAACCCAACGGGUGGGAACAAUCAUGUUAUGGCGGUAACUACAAGGAGUGGACGAGGCGGUGAUGUGAAUGCCUCUAAACAAAAGAAAAUUUUUAGUGAUGAUGUUAAGUUGCAAGAAAAUGAAGUUCCUUUUGUGGUUGAAAAUGUGAUUAAUGAGAACAUGAAUGAAGAAGUGAUAAUUUAUAUUCAAGAUGCAAGGGUGGAAAAUCAAAAUGAUGUGAGCCCAUCUAGAGAACACAUUAUAGACAUGCUGGAGCUGGUUGUGCCUAACGCCAAGGCUCCUUUUCCAAGGCCACCUCCACUUUAUCCUCAAAGGCCCGUGAAGCCGAAAAAUGAGAAUCAAUGUAAAAAAUUCAUUGGCAUGCUGAAUAGCUUAUGCAUUGAUGUGCCUUUAGUGGAGGCUCUUGAACAAAUGCCGAGCUAUGCGAAAUUCAUGAAGGACAUGGUGACAAAGAAACAAUCUAUGGAUUAUGAAACUAUAAAGAUGACUCACCAAGUUAGUGCGAUAGUGCAUUAAAUGGCCCCGAAGCUUGAAGCUCCCGGUGCUUUCACCAACCCUCGCACCAUUAGGAGUGCAGAUUUUGCUAAGGCUCUUUGUGAUUUGGGGCUAGUAUCAAUUUGAUGCCCUACUCAGUUUUCAAGACUUUGGGUAUUGGGAAACCAUGUCCGACUUCUAUGAGAUUACAAAUGGUGGUUAGAACGAUGAAGAGACCAUUGGUAUUAUUGAUGAUUUUCUUGUCUGGGUGGACAAAUUUAUCAUGCCAGUAGACUUUGUGAUCUUGGAUUGUGAGGUGGAUUAUGAAGUUUCUAUCAUAUUGGGGAGACCUUUCCUUGCUAUGGGGAAGGCCUUAAUUGAUGUGGAAGCAGGGUCAUUCACCUUACGGGUGGGUGAAGAAAAAGUGAUCUUUCAUGUGUGCAAGUCAAUGAAGCAGCCCAACAGUUCUGAGGUGUGCUCUUUUGUGGACCUUGUCAUGGUAGUGAUAGUUGAUGAUACUAGUGCAAUGAUCAAUGUGAAGGACCCUUUGGAGGCCGUGUUGUUGAAUCUUCAUGUCAAUGAUGAUGAGGGCCGAGUGGAGCAUGUGAAUGCUUUACAUGGAAUGGGCUCUUACUUUUAUGAGCCUAGGAAACUCUCUUUGAACCUUGAAAAUAGGAAGACUCCACCAACAAAACCUUCAAUUGAAGAGCCUCCGGUGUUGGAGUUGAAACCACUACCUCCUCACCUCAGGAAUGAGUUAUUAGGCCCUAGUUCUACUUUGCUAGUUAUUCUUUCCUCAUCUCUUACUAACAUGCAGGUUGAUGCCACAUUAGCGAUGUUUCAAAAAACAGAAAAAGGUAAAUGGAUGGACUUUAGCUGAUAUUCGGGGGACAAACCUCGCAUUCUGCAUACACAAGAUUAUUCUAGAAGAUGAUGCAAAGCCCUCCUUGGAACAUCAAUAGAGGUUGAACGAGGCAAUGAAAGAGGUUGUGAAAAAGGAGGUGAUCAAGUAGUUGGAUGUAGGGGUUGUGUACCUCAUCUCUAAUAGCUCUUAGACUUCACUGGUGCAAUGCGUACCAAAGAAGGGUGGCACGACCGUGGUUGAAAAUUCACAAAAUGAGUUGAUUCCUACUAGAAAAGUCACCGGUUUGAGGGUAUACAUGGACUACCGCAAGUUGAAUAAAGUGACCCACAAGGAUCACUUUCCUUUGCCUUUUCUUGAUCAAAUGUUAGACCGACUUGCUGAGCGUGCCUUCUACUAUUUCUUGGAUGGGUAUUCUGGGUACAACCAAAUCUUGAUUGCUCCAGAAUAUCAGGAGAAGGCCACAUUUACUUGUCUUUAUGGCCUAUUAGCCUUUUCUAGGAUGCCUUUUGGGUUGUCUAAUGCACCGUCUACAUUUCAGUGGUAUAUGAUGGCCAUUUUCACUGAUAUGGUGGAAGCAGUUUUGGAGGUUUUCAUGGAUGACUUUAGUGUUGUGGGUGAUUCUUUUGAUGAGUGCUUGAAGAAUGUUGAUAGAGUUUUGGCCCGUUGUGAAGAAACCAAUCGUGUUAUCAAUUGGGAGAAAUGCCACUUUAUAGUGGAAGAAGGCAUAGUUCUUGGGCAUAAAUUUCAAAGCAUAUAUUGAGGUAGACAAAGAAAAAAUUGAUGUGAUUUCAAGGCUCCCUCCCCUACCUCUGUCAAGGGAGUUAGAAUUUUUCUAGGGAAUGCAGGGUUCUACUAGAUAUUUAUCAAAGACUUUUCGAAGGUAGAAAAUCCCUUAUGCAAAAACAACAACGACCCAGUAAAGUCUCACUAAGCAGGGUCUGGGGAGAGUAGUGUGUACGCAGACCUUAACCCUACCUCGAUAGGGCAGAAAGGUUGUUUCGGAUAGACCUUUUGUUCAGGAAAAUGAAAAUAAAACAAGAAAACAAGAAACGAUAAUUCAUCAGUAACGUCAACAUAACCAUAGAAAUAAUGGCAGCAUCCUAAAAACCAUAAAAUAGAUGACAUGCAAUACCCAUAACCCACAACUAAGCUCUAGAGGUAUGGAAAUCGGUAAGGUUAGUAUGAACUCAAUAUUAACCGGAAGCCUGUCUAGGACCAACCUACUCAAACUCGCUUCACCCCUGGAAUGGAGGAAGAGAAGCUCAACUACCACCAUAUCCUAUAACCCUAAUGCUCGGCCUCCAAAACCAUCCCAUUAAGGGCCAUAUCUCAGAACUCUGCAAUCAUACCAGGUCCUACCUGAUCACCUCUCCCCAAUACUUCUUAGGCCGUCCUCUACCUCUUCUCGAACCCACUAAAGCCAGCAACUCACAUCUCCUCACCGGUAUAUCCAGCUUCUCCUCUGCACGUUCCCGAACCAUCUAAGCAUCGCUUCCAACAUCUUGUCAUCCACAGAGGCCACACCCACCUUCUCCUGAAUAUCGUCAGUCCUAAUCUUAUCCAUCAUAGUGAGCCUGCACAUCCACCUCAACAUCCUCAUCUCAGCUACCUUCAUCCUCUGGAUAUGAGAGUUAGUGUUUGAUGAUAAAUAUAUGCAAGCCUUUGAACUUCUCAAGCAUAAGUUCACCACCACUCCUAUCAUUACCGCACCUAAUUGGAGCUUGCCCUUUGAGCUCAUAUGUGAUGCGAUCGAUGUUGCGGUUAGGCGAUUUUGGGUCAAAGAGUGAACAAAAUGUUUCAUCCGGUGUACUAUGCGAGCAAGACAAUGAAUGGUGCUCAAGUGAAAUACAUGGUGACCGAGAAAGAACUUUUUGUUAUUGUGUUCGCAGUGGAUAAAUUUUGGUCGUAUCUUACGGGUGCCAAGGUCAUAAUUCAUACCAACCAUGUUGCACUCCUGUACUUGAUGACGAAUAAGGAUUCCAAAGCUAGACUGAUACGACGGGUCUUCUUACUUCAAGAGUUUGAUUUGGAGAUUGUGGACAUGAAGGAUAGUGAAAACCAAGUAGUGGACCACUUGUCUCGCUUGGAGGAGGAGGGAAGGCCUCGUGUUGGCCUAGAGAUCAAUGAUUCAUUUCCCGAUGAACAACUCCCUUCGGUAUCGAUGAAUGGUAUGCCAUGGUUUGAGGAUGUUGCUAAUUUUCUUGUGACUGGUAUAAUCCCGUGUGAGCUCUCUUCUAACCAAAGGAAAAAGCUCAAGCAGGAUAGUUUGGAUUUCUGUUGUGAUGAGCCGUACUUGUUCAAGAUUUGCACGGAUGGUGUGAUCUGUAUCCUGGAGGAACAACAAUUGGGUAUCUUGGAGUCUUGUCAUUCGUCUCCCUAUGGUAGCCAUCAUGGCAAGGUGGGGACGUCUUCCAAAGCUCUUAGUUGUGCAUUUUAUUGGCCAAAGUUGUACAAAGAUGCAAGCAAACUAGUGAAGAGGUAUGAUGAAUCUCAAAGAGCAGGUGGCAUUUCGAAGAAAUAUGAGAUGCCUCUCAAUACCAUUCUUGAGGUUGAUAUUAUUUAUGUAUGGGACAUUGAUUUUAUUGGCCGGUUUGUUAGCUCACGUGGGAACACCUACAUUCAUGUGACAGUGGAGUAUGUUCCAUAGUGGGUUGAAGUUGUGGCUUUGACCAGCAAUGAGGCCCGGAGUGUUGUUGGAUUUCUCAAGAAGACCAUUUUUACAAGGUUUGGUACUCCCCGUGCAAUCAUAAGUGAUUAGGGGUCUCAUUUUUGCAAUAGAGCUUUUGACACUUUGCUUGCAAAGUAUGGCGUCAAUUACAAAGUUUCUACUCCCUAUUAUCCUCGAGCAAGUGGUCAACUUGAAGUCUCCAAUAGGGAAAUCAAGAGCAUAGGGUCAAAGAUGGUCAAUGCUAAUUGGACCGAUUGGUCAAAGAAGUUGGAUGACACUCAAUAGGCUUAUAGGACAGCUUACAAGGCUCUGAUUGGUAUACCUCUGUAUCGGUUGGUGUUUGGGAAAGCUUGUCAUCUACCGGUUGAGUUAGAACACAAGGCCAUAUGGGCUUUAAUGAAGCUAAAUAUUGAAUAGUAUGUAGCAACAAAUCUUCGUGUGGAGCAGCUUAAUGAACUUGAUGAAUUCUGAUUCCAUGCCUAUUCCAGUUCGUCCUUAUACAAAGACAAGAUGAAGUGCCUCCAUGAUAAAUAUGCUCAUUGAAAGAAGUUCAAAGUAGGUGAUUUGGUUCUCUUGUUCAACUCUCGGUUACGUAUAUUUUCGAGAAAGCUUAAGUCAAAAUAGAGUGGACCUUUUGAAAUGGUGUUUGUGACCCCGUUUGGUGCACUUGAUUUGAAGAACAAAAAUGGGAAAGUUUUCAGAGUAAAUGGGCAUAGGUUCAAGAAAUACUUGGGAAAAAUUGAUGGAAGCCACAUGGUGGUACUUCUUCAUCUCAAAUGAUUUGAUGGUAACCUGUGUCAUGUCGCAACGUUAAAUCAGGAACUUCUUGGGAGGCAACCCAUGUGUUUUUAUUCUUAUUUUUCUUUGAUUUUCAUUGUAAUAUAGGAUUUAUUUUUGGACUGACUGGUUGUGAAAUGCUACAGAAUUGUGUUGUUGCAGUACAGGACAAAGUGGAAAAAAAUUGUUCAAGUCUUUGAAGUUUGCAAUGCGGACCACAUUACAUUUGUGCGGCUACAAAGAACAUAGUGCAGGGGCACAAAAUCAGUGCGUACCGCACUGAUGAUGGAUGGAAAAAUCAACUCUCUGAAGUUUGCCACUGCGACCGCAUUAAAUUUUUUGCUGUCCGCGGUGGACCACUGUGGCCACGAAGCAUUUUGUGCGGACCGCAAUGGUUGCCUUCUCAAGCUUGUAUAAUUCCAUAUGGUGCAGACCACACAGCAUUUUGUACGGUCUGUGGUGGGUAGGUAAGCUGGGCUCCUGGACUUUUUUUAUUAAUAGUGCCUGAGGCCCACCACUUGAACUUUUCGAUCCUUUCACUCUCACAACUCAAAGAUUUAUUGCUCAUCUUCCUUCUUGCUUGUAAUUAACUGCUAAGAAUCGUCUAUCGUUAGUACUUCUCACAUCUGGUAACUUUAGCUUCUUUUUAAUUGUUUAAUUUAUUUAUUUUCUUUUAGUUUUUGUUUUCAAUCGUCUUCUUCUUGCCUUUCCCGUAUUUCUUUCGAAUUGGUAGCUUAGGUUAGUUAAUUUCUUGUUUAAAUUAGUAUUAGGUAGUUAAAACAUUAGGCAAACAUUUAGGGACUCUUUCAUUAGUGAAAAAUUUGACUAAAAGGGAUUAAACCGUGAACCCUAAGUUGGUGCUGCUACUGGGUACUCAGUGAGGACCGCGAUAGAAUUUGUGUAGUAUGCUAUGCCCCUGUGCUGUCCGCACUGCAUUUUGUGUAGACUGUAUUGAAGAAGUUCUGAAACCUAAUCAUUAAGGACCGCGGCCGCAUUGCAUUUUUAUGGUUCGUGGUGCCUCAAUGCGGACCGCAUUGCCAUUUUGUGUGGUCCGUGUCACACCUCUUUUUUCACUAUACACCCCCGCAAAGGGGCGUAAAGGAGUUUUUCCAAUUAAAGGACAAUCGUAACGGGAUUUGAUUAUUAAUUAUUCAGAGUCUCCUAUUGGGAGAUUAAUGAUGUCCCAAGUCACUGAUUGAAUCUCGAACCGAGGAAAAAGAUGACUUUGUUUACAGUCCGCGAACCAGAAAUCCGGAUAAGGAAUUCCAUUAACCCGGGAGAAGGUGUUCGGCAUUCCCAGGUUCCGUGGUUCUAGCACGGUCGCUCAAAUGUUGUAUUUAGAUUUUAUCUAAUUUUAUUACAUGAAGAUCUAAUGUGGUAAUUUUACUUUUUGCCGCUUUUACUUACUAUAUUUAAGUGAGAAAGUGAACAUCGUUUAAAAUGUGUUUUCGAAUUGCGCCACAUCAAAUGAACCCGCAAUUCUAGAUACACUCUAUUCAACAUUUUAGGAUUUGAAUUUGGGCCGCAUAAAAUACCCACCUGUAUUUAGGAAUGUAAUUUAUUAAAGCCGCGCCUAAUAGAGUCUAGCACGUUGUAAUCUUUUGGGAGGGUCGUGAAAUUCGCUAAGCGAUCCUUCCCAAUUUUUCAAAAUAUUUUUAAACCUUUAUUGAGGGCCCCGCAUUUUACGUAUUUUUAUUUGGCGAGGCACGCCUCCUUUAUUUUAAGGAUAUUCUAAAGUGACAACAUUUAUAUUUAAAUUCGUCUCUAGAAUAAAGAAAGAAAAAUCCUAAUUAAUUACGAGCUAAAGAAUAAAAAUGUAACACACUAAUUAGAAAAAUGCCCACCUGUAUUUAGGAAUGUAAUUUAUUAAAGCCGCGCCUAAUAGAGUCUAGCACGUUGUAAUCUUUUGGGAGGGUCGUGAAAUUUGCUAAGCGAACCGUCCCGAUUUUCUAAAUAUUUUAAAACAUUUAUUGAGAGCCCCGCAAUUUUACAUUUUUAUUGGGUGAGGCUCAUCUCAUUUUAUUUUAGAAAGGGAUAACCUAAAAGCAACUAUAUUUUCUUAUUUUUAUUAGUCUCUAAAACACAAAGAAGGGAAAACUUAGUUGACUAACACGUGAGAAAGGUCUAAAAUUCUAUAAUUUGAUCUUGACCGAUUAAGCUUAGGAACUGAAAUAAAGAAUUCAAAAUAGGCCAAGUUCGUUUACAAAACAAUUCAAGCCCCGCAAUACCAAGACUGUUUCGAUGCCCAAAAGUUUUUCACCUCCAACAGUAUGCCAAUUCAUUUAACAAGCAUUUACUGAACUUACUCUCCUUGUGACCAGUGUUCAGCAAUUGUUUACAGGAUAUUGAUCAUUUGGAUUCUAAUUCUGACUCAAGUUGUCCUCAUCUAUUUACCUAUUAGUGGGUUCCUGAAUACCUUGUGAGUACAUAUGUUGGCAAUUGGGCUGAUAUUUGGCCUAUUUUGUUUAACAACUUAAAUGGAAAUGGACAAAACACUGCCUAAACUAUGAGCAACAGAACUUAUGGAACGUUUAGAACUAAACUGCUACCUAUAAUUCAACAAUUUACAUCCUUCCUGUUGAUAAACAUAUUCAUUUAAAGCUCUACACACAUCUACUACUAAUUGAACACCAAGCAACUAGUGUUUAACUUUUUACUUCUAUACAAAUCUGAGGGAAGGAAUAGUCCUCAUAUAGUCCGGAUACAAAUCAAAAUGAUUCAAAUCAAUAGAAGUAGUCUAAAUUUAAUUACAGUGAACACUCUAUCAUACACUACAACAAACCACUUAAUAGAACAACAUUAUCAACAUAAUGGAACUACAACAGCUAUUCAACUUCAGUUUCAUUUCAUGAUUUCAACAGAUCGAUCUACAUCAGCACAGGCUCAGAAUAUGUACCUGGAUAAGAGAUUACAAUGACGAAAAGUGGGAGUCAGUUGAGGCAAGAAGAAACACAGCACCAAUUGAGUUCAAACAGCACAAAAUUAUGCCAAAUUUCGACCCAGAAAUAGAUAUAGAGUGCAGCAAUGUUUUGAAAUCAAAAUAGAACCAUUAGAUCAACUAAAAAUCAGCUUGAAUAACCCAUAACCAAUCGAAACCCUCAGUGAAUCACUAAAGCAUCAGAACUCAAAUAUUGGACUAAAAAACUGGAAAUCAAUCACUAAAAAUUGAAAUCAACUUGAAUUCCCUGAUAGAACAGUUCUCUCUAUGUGUAUAUAUAUAUAUAUAUAUAUAUAUAUAUAUAUACACACAUAUAAUAGAGUGUUUUUGAAGGAUUUUCUACUGUUUUUGUUGGGUUUUUUUUUCUUGAAGAAGCUAAGACCUAAGGGAAUUUCAGAUCUGGAAGCUUGGAGAGUAUUUUUGGGGAGGAAUU
rnacentral:lncRNA from 1 species